rnacentral:rRNA from 1 species
GACGCCCACAAUCUAGCCCAUCACACCACUUCUCACCAUUUAUUUUCAUGAAAAAAAUAAAACAUUCCUAAUCUCAAGUAAAUGUGAUUGAAAAAGAACUUGGAGCUAUACAGCUAGUACCGCAAGGGAAAGAUGAAAUAGAAAUUAAAUAAACAAUUAAGCACAAAAAAGCAAAGAUAAGACCUUGUACCUUUUGCAUUAUGGUCUAACAAGUCCCACCAGGCAAAAAGACUUUUAGUCUGAUCCCCCGAAACUAAGUGAGCUACUCCGAGAUAACUCAAGUAAACCCGUCUCUGUGGCAAAAGAGUGGGAAAAUCUCCAAGUAGAGGUGAUAUGCCAAUCGAACUUAGUGAUAGCUGGUUACUCAAGAAAAGAAUAUUAGUUCUAUAUCAGGGCAUCUUAGCAAUAAGUCAUUAAAGCAAACUCAAUUCCCUGAGACCUAUUCAAUAAGGGCACAGCCUUAUUGAAAAAGGAUACAACCUAAUACCCUGGCUAAUGAUCACCACAACAUAGACUAAGUCGGCCUAAGAGCAGCCACCUUUUAAAAAGCGUCAAAGCUUAUCCUAACCCCCCCCCCCAUUAAUACCCAUCAUUUUUCAGAACCCGGCACCAGUAUUGAGUCUUCCUAUAUUCAUAUAGAAAAGUUGAUGUUAGAACUAGUAACGUAGAAUUUUUUCUCCCUAUGUAAGUGUAAAUCAGAUCGAAUAACUCACUGAUAAUUAUACGGCUAUGAAAUCAACGUAGCAACCACCAACCAUGAAAACCCUACUGCUUCACCCGUUAACCUAACACAAGAACAUUAAAGAAAGAUUAAAAGACAAAGAAGGAACUCGGCAAACCCAAGUCCCGCCUGUUUACCAAAAACAUCGCCUCUUGAAAACUAUAAGAGGUAAUGCCUGCCCAGUGACAUGUGUUUAACGGCCGCAGUAUUUUGACUGCGCGAAGGUAGCGUAAUAACUUGUUUUUUAAAUAAAGACUAGUAUGAAUGGCCCCACGAGGACUUAACUGUCUCCUUUGUCCAAUCAGUGAAACUGACCCCCCCGUGCAGAAGCGGGGAUAACACCAUAAGACGAGAAGACCCUAUGGAGCUUUAAACCAAACCAACUAUCUUUUAUUAUACCCCCACGGGACUAAUAAACAUCAAGAUUCGAUUGAUAUAAGUUUUAGGUUGGGGCGACCAUGGAGAAAAACUUAACCUUCCUGACGAUCUAUAAACCAAGAGCUUCAGCUCUAAGUAUUAAGACACUUAACCCUCAUUGACCCACUCUGUGAUCAACGAACCAAGUUACCCUAGGGAUAACAGCGCAAUCCAUUUCAAGAGUCCUUAUCGACAAAUGGGUUUACGACCUCGAUGUUGGAUCAGGGCACCCAAG